ACCCUACUAUGCCCAACUGUAAUACAACAAUUAAAUCACAAAUUGUUCGCCAAAUAACUACGAGUAAAAACUUAAAAUUUAAAAGACUUGACGGUACUUCACAACAACCUAGAGGAGCCUGUCCCAUAACCGAUAACCCACGAUUAACCCCACCCCCCCUGGCCCACAGUCUAUAUACCGCCGUCGCCAGCCUACCUUGUGAAAGAGAUAAAGUAAGCUAAACAACACCACAUUAACACGACAGGUCGAGGUGUAACUAAUGGAGGGGGAAAAGAUGGGCUACAUUUUCCACCAGGAAUAUACGAAUGCGGUUACGAAAGCUUAGCCGCUGAAGGAGGAUUUAGCAGUAAGAUAAGAACAAAAUGCCUAACUGAAAUAUGCAAUGAAGUGCGUACACACCGCCCGUCAUCCCUGUAGUAUUAUCAAAAAAUACAUAAUGAACACCCCACCCAAGCCA
rnacentral:rRNA from 1 species